rnacentral:misc_RNA from 1 species
AACAUUCAGAGAGAACUUCUAUCAUGCUCUUCAAGUUCUAGAUAUCACUGGACUAUUCAGGAGUUAUAGAUAUUGACUUGUGAAAGAGCAGCUGUUAUCACAAGCCUGAAUCUCAAAUGUAGAAGACAGUUAUGGAAGCCAGGAACUUAGAAGUCGCUAGUUGUAUCAGCGGGCUUCGACUUCUAGUAGUUCAUCUUUUUUUUACAUCUACUUUUGCUGUGCACGCAUGUAAUCAAGAAAAGAUAUUCUCAGACAUAAUCCAAGGUAAAGCCCUGGUUAACCAUACCUAUAAAACCCUGCA